CUAAUAUUAGUUACUGUUGUGAGCGGAAGCUGCUAUUUCAUGUAUCGAGGGUUCUGUUUCAUAUUUGUUUUCUGUCCAUAUUUUAUGAACCAGUAAUGGCAAUAGUAGUAGUGUUAGAAGUAAUAAAAAAAUUGUUGUUAUUAUGUCAGUCAUUUUCUUGUUUGUCAUCCAUGCAUUUUGGUGUUGGAUACCUUUAAUAAAUUGGCACAAUAAUUCAUUUGUCAGGUUGAUGGUGAUUAUUAGUGAAAUCAAGGCUCUAUGCUUGUAAUAUCAAGAACAGAAUAAAACCUGCAGAAAUUUAUUUGGAGCUCUACACGGCCUCCUUGUAAUUGACAUCCAUCAAACAAUUUGCAUGUUUUUUUCUUUUUUAUCACCUAUGUUCGUCGCCAUCUUCUUAAUAGAUUUUUAUUACUGUGUAAAAGGAUUGAUGAUGCCUUCUGAGAUUGAAGAAGAUAAGAUCACUUUCUGCGAGGCGUCAAUAUCAAGAUAAGAGCAAUCUGUUUCUGUUUUAAGCUCAAUGAGGAAUCAAAAUGUUUGCCGACUUCUUGUUUUCUUUUAUGAGCAGCAGAUGGCGAUAAUACAGAGCAAGCAUCCUGUUGAUUUGAUUAAAGUAUAUUCAGAAAAGGAGCUUUUGAAGGAGUUUGAAAAAAUUGCUUCCACCAUUGUACCAGAAAAAGAUUGGUCUAUGUGAAGGCCUUAUUAUUGGAGGUU
rnacentral:lncRNA from 1 species